rnacentral:rRNA from 1 species
ACUCCUACGGGAGGCAGCAGUGGGGAAUAUUGCACAAUGGGCGCAAGCCUGAUGCAGCCAUGCCGCGUGUGUGAAGAAGGCCUUCGGUUGUAAAGCACUUUCAGUUGUGAGGAAGGUGGUGUUGUGAAUAGCAGCAUCAUUUGACGUUAGCAACAGAAGAAGCACCGGCUAACUCCGUGCCAGCAGCCGCGGUAAUACGGAGGGUGCGAGCGUUAAUCGGAAUUACUGGGCGUAAAGCGCAUGCAGGUGGUUUGUUAAGUCAGAUGUGAAAGCCCCGGGCUCAACCUGGGAAUUGCAUUUGAAACUGGCAAACUAGAGUACUGUAGAGGGGGUAGAAUUUCAGGUGUAGCGGUGAAAUGCGUAGAGAUCUGAAGGAAUACCGGUGGCGAAGGCGGCCCCCUGGACAGAUACUGACACUCAGAUGCGAAAGCGUGGGGAGCAAACAGGAUUAGAUACCCUGGUAGGACAGUG